rnacentral:rRNA from 1 species
AUUGAACGCUGGCGGCAUGCCUUACACAUGCAAGUCGAACGGUAACAGGUCUUCGGAUGCUGACGAGUGGCGAACGGGUGAGUAAUACAUCGGAACGUGCCCGAGAGUGGGGGAUAACGAGGCGAAAGCUUUGCUAAUACCGCAUACGAUCUCAGGAUGAAAGCAGGGGACCGCAAGGCCUUGCGCUCACGGAGCGGCCGAUGGCAGAUUAGGUAGUUGGUGGGAUAAAAGCUUACCAAGCCGACGAUCUGUAGCUGGUCUGAGAGGACGACCAGCCACACUGGGACUGGGACACGGCCCAGACUCCUACGGGAGGCAGCAGUGGCGAAUUUUGGACAAUGGGCGCAAGCCUGAUCCAGCCAUGCCGCGUGCAGGAUGAAGGCCUUCGGGUUGUAAACUGCUUUUGUACGGAACGAAAAGACUCUGGUUAAUACCUGGGGUCCAUGACGGUACCGUAAGAAUAAGCACCGGCUAACUACGUGCCAGCAGCCGCCGUAAGAC